CCUACGGGAGGCAGCAGGGAGGAAGAGGGGGAAAGGGGGGGGAGACGGAAGCAGCCAAGUCGCGUGAGGGAAGACGGUCCUAUGGAUUGUAAACCUCUUUAGGCGGGGAGCAAUGCCGGGCACGCGUGCCCGGAGGGAGAGUACCCGCAGAAUAAGCAUCGGCUAACUCCGUGCCAGCAGCCGCGGUAAUACGGAGGAUGCGAGCGGUAUCCGGAUUUAUUGGGUUUAAAGGGUGCGUAGGCGGAUUUUUAAGUCAGCGGUAAAAUGUCCGGGCUCAACCCGGGCCGGCCGUUGAAACUGGGGAUCUUGAGUGGGCGAGAAGGAUGCGGAAUGCGUGGUGUAGCGGUGAAAUGCAUAGAUAUCACGCAGAACUCCGAUUGCGAAGGCAGCAUACCGGCGCCCGACUGACGCUGAGGCACGAAAGCGUGGGGAUCGAACAGGAUUAGAUACCCUGGUAGUC
rnacentral:rRNA from 1 species